rnacentral:tmRNA from 1 species
GGGGAUGUCGGGUUUCGACAGGUGAUCAGGUUGGAGAAUUGCAGGUCGAGGUGCCGGUAUAGCACUCUCGUUAAACAACCGGCAAAACAAUAACUGCCAACAAAGCAGAAAAACCCGCUCUCGCCCUCGCUGCCUAAGAAGUAGCGACGAGACGCCUGCCCGAUCUUCUCUCGUGGGGUCGGUGCCAGGCGACAGAUACACGAGAUGCUCUGGCGAUGAUCGCCUUCUAGUCGCCAGCUAAGACCAGAGGGCCAGCGUUAAGAAAUCCUGUCGGCGGGAGUUCUUAAUGCAAAGCCAGAACGCCGACUAAGCCUGUAGUAUAUUCUUCAGCGAGGUCGCCUGGACAGGGAGUUCAACUCUCCCUCAUCUCCACCA